UGUAGCUCAGUUGGGAGAGCACUUGCCUAGUAUGCAAGUGACCCUGGGUUCCCUUCCUAGCA
rnacentral:tRNA from 1 species